CUGACUCAGUGUUGAGGAGCUGGAUGAGGGAGAGCCAGGGAAGGUGGAGACAGACUGUACAGAAACAGCGGGGUCCUGGGUGCUUCUUCUUGGCCCGGCGGCUGACUCACCGGUGUGUGCCUCUCUACGAGGUGAACCGCAACCUGGAUAACCGAGCAGGGAGAGAAGAGGGGAGAGAAGCAACCAUUAUAGGAAUGAAAGAGGAAUAAAAAGAGGUAGCUGGAAGAAAAAGGGAGCGAGGUCGCCAAACGUGCCCGACGAGGAGGAGACAGACCCCGGCCAGACGAGCACAGAUACAGGGGGAGAAAAUAAAGGGAAUAUUAACCAAAUAAGAGGAGAGAGGUCUUAUCACUAGGCAGCAUGGCAGAUGCAGAGCUGGACUUCCAGACCGGGGAUGCCGGAGCCUCCGCCACCUACCCCAUGCAGUGCUCUGCUCUGCGUAAGAACGGCUUUGUGGUGCUGAAAGGCCGACCCUGCAAGAUCGUUGAGAUGUCCACCUCCAAGACCGGCAAGCACGGCCACGCUAAGGUCCACAUGAUCGGUAUUGACAUCUUCUCUGGUAAGAAGCAUGAAGAUAUCUGUCCCUCCACCCACAACAUGGACGUCCCCAACAUCAAGAGAAUGGAUUACCAGCUGAUUGGGAUCCAGGAGGGCUACCUGUCCCUGCUCCAGGACAGCGGGGACGUGCGAGAGGACCUGAAGAUUCCAGAGGGAGACCUGGGCAAAGAGAUAGAGAGCAAGCACGAAGCUGGCGAGGAGAUCCUGAUCACUGUUCUAAAUGCAAUGGAUGAAGAAUCUGCAAUCGGCAUCAAAGCCUUGGGUAAAUGAGCCACUGCAGGUAAAUACAGAGCCAACAGCUGUAUCCAUAAGCAGCACCCCUCCAAAACUACCGCCUGACCCGCGCCUGCCUGAAGACGAGGGCAAGCGAGACGCACUGGACCUGGGGGAAAGGAGGGGAUAAUGCCUCGUCAAUGCUCUUCUCCCUGUGUCUGUCUUUGUUUUCUCCUCUGCCUCAUUUUUCUUCUUUGGGUUCAAUUAGAUAAAUCAACUUUCAUAAAUAAUUGAAAAUGUCUACCGUAAAGAUUCUCUAUGUACAAACCGCAUCUGACUGGACGACGAUGUAAAUAGAUGAAAAAAGGUGCGAAGAAAGCUUUUAGAAAUGAAUGAUGGGUGUACAAACAGUAGCUCCUACCAUCAGGGAAAGAAAGGGGGUGGUGUCUUUAUACGUUCCAGUUUUAUGAAGGGCUUUAAGUCCGAUCUGUUGAGGCUUGUUCAGUGAGUACCGUACAGUACCUCUUCUCUGUAUGACCCUCCUGCUGUUUAGUUCCUCACCUGAAAUGUGUCUUUACCAACAUGGCACUGCCAAGGUUCAGUCUCUUUUUGUCUCAAGGUUUCCAAAAGAAAGAAAACUAGCUACAAGAACAAGUUGCCCUCUGUUUAAAAAGUCCUUCAAAGCCCUUUUUCGGAGAGCCUUUCCCUGAAACCGAGUCGGAUUUCAUUUUCAUGCUCCUGAUCCCCGAGCGCUGAUUCAGGAGGCAGCAGAUAACUCGUGGCAGUUUGGUAUCCUUUCUUUGUGUUCGUACAGCAAAAGCCAAACUGUGCAGAAAGUCUCAAAAAAGAAUAAAGAUGAAACUGUUGGAUUUUCUGUUUGCAUAUUGUUUUUAUUUAGCAACUUAAAGUGUUAAAACAGCCGACUUCUGUAGAAGAGGAAAACACUGGAAAAAUCUGUUAUUUUGUCAGAAAAGUCAUUUUAAUGUCAUUUGCGGUAACCAAGCGUUAUUGAUCUAAUGUGAUCAACGAGUCAGCAACAGUGGAAUAGAGUCUUUCAGUUUCAGUUGGAUUCAUCCGUGUGAGUGACUGUUUGCUGAUUUAAUCCAAAAACAUCAUAAAAUGAUUAAGUUCAACUGAAUAUUUUUCCAUUAAAAGCCACUGCGCAAACACUGAAUCCUCCUCUCAUAGUAAUGAAUGUUAGUAUACAAAGGAUAAGCUCUGUUUCAUGAAGAUAUUAACAUGUUAAUGCACAUGAGCACAUUCACAACUGCUGUACAGUGUAGUUAAAAUAACAACCUACUUUACAAAUUGAGUUUUGUAAAAAAAAAAAAGUCUACCGAAGCAUGUAGUCGACAGAUCGCUUUAAGAAAGUCAACAAAAACAAACUGUACAGGAUAUAAAA